rnacentral:rRNA from 1 species
GCUGGCGGCGCGCCUAAUGCAUGCAAGUCGAGCGACGCAUAUUCGGUGGGUAACCACUGGGUAUGACGGAGCGGCGAACGGGUGAGUAACACGUGAGUAACCUGCCCCGAAGAUCGGGAUAGCCCGGGGAAACCCGGAUUAAUACCGAAUACCCUCUCUGGAUCGCAUGGUCCGAUGAGGAAAUGCCUUUGUGCUUCGGGAUGGACUCGCGGCCUAUCAGCUUGUUGGUGAGGUAACGGCUCACCAAGGCAACGACGGGUAGCUGGUCUGAGAGGACGAUCAGCCACACUGGGACUGAGACACGGCCCAGACUCCUACGGGAGGCAGCAGCAGGGAAUCUUGUCCAAUGGGCGAAAGCCUGAGACAGCGACGCCGCGUGAGGGAUGAAGGCCUUCGGGUUGUAAACCUCUUUCAGGAGGGACGAAAUUGACGGUACCUCCAGAAGAAGCCCCGGCCAACUACGUGCCAGCGGCCGCGGUAAUACGUAGGGGGCAAGCGUUGUCCGGAUUUAUUGGGCGUAAAGGGCUCGUAGGCGGCUCAACAAGUCGGUCGUGAAAACCCAGGGCUCAACCCUGGGACGCCGGUCGAU